AUCCUUUUGUAGUUUAUAAGUGUGAUGACUGGGGUUUCACGUGCAUGUGUGAAAUGUGCCUUCCCCAAGCCUUGUUACGACCUCAUUGGAACAUUACCCCUUUGACA
ensembl:snoRNA